rnacentral:rRNA from 1 species
UACGGAGGGUGCAAGCGUUGUUCGGAAUCAUUGGGCGUAAAGCGCGUGUAGGUGGCUUGGCAAGUCGGUUGUGAAAUCCCGGGGCCCAACCCCGGAACUGCAUUCGAAACUGCCUCGCUAGAGUCCCGGAGAGGAAGGCGGAAUUCCCGGUGUAGAGGUGAAAUUCGUAGAUAUCGGGAGGAACACCAGCGGCGAAGGCGGCCUUCUGGACGGUGACUGACACUGAGACGCGAAAGCGUGGGGAGCAAAC